rnacentral:rRNA from 1 species
GACAGAGGGGGCAAGCGUUGCUCGGAAUUACUGGGCGUAAAGGGCGCGUAGGCGGGAUGGCAAGUCGGUCGUGAAAUCCCUCGGCUCAACCGAGGAACGUCGAUCGAUACUGCUGUUCUUGAGGAUUGCAGAGGAGACUGGAAUUCCCGGUGUAGCGGUGAAAUGUGUAGAUAUCAGGAGGAACACCGGUGGCGAAGGCGGCUACCUGGGCAGAAACUGACGCUGAGGCGCGAAAGCUAGGGGAGCAAACAGG